rnacentral:rRNA from 1 species
GUUUAGAACGUCGUGAGACAGUUCGGUCCCUAUCUGCUGUGGGUGUCGGAAACUUGAGAGGACCUGUCCCUAGUACGAGAGGACCGGGAUGGACGAACCUCUGGUGUACCGGUUGUGCCGCCAGGCGCAGCGCCGGGUAGCUAUGUUCGGACGAGAUAACCGCUGAAAGCAUCUAAGCGGGAAGCUCCCCUCAAAACGAGGUUUCCCUUGAGAGACGUGGUAGACCACCACGUUGAUAGGGGGCAUGUGGAAGCACGGUAACGUGCGCAGCUAAGCCCUACUAAUCACUCGAUCGGCUUGAUCUG